UACGUAGGGGUGCGAGCGUGUUCCGGAAUUAUUGGGCGUAAAAGAGCUUGUAGGCGGGUUUGUCGCGUCUGCUGUGAAAUCUCAAGGCUCAACCUUGAGCUUGCAGUGGGUACGGGCAGACUAGAGUGUGGUAGGGGAGACUGGAAUUCCUGGUGUAGCGGUGAAAUGCGCAGAUAUCAGGAGGAACACCGAUGGCGAAGGCAGGUCUCUGGGCAGUAACUGA
rnacentral:rRNA from 1 species